GCGGAUGUACCCUAGUAGAUCAGGGCAGU
rnacentral:tRNA from 1 species